GGUUCAGCAGUUUAGGGGUAUAAUGCUCGCUUUGGGUGUGAGUGGUAGAGGGUUCAAAUCCCAGAUGAGGCC